GACAAAAAAUUAACAGGGUUUUGAUGUGAUAAUCACAAACUAAGGCCGAAUAUUGCUUCUCCUAGAUGAGCAGAAACUCGCUUGUCAUUCUCGUCAAAUUCACUCAUCGGUGUAAGGUUCAUGAGUUGCUUUGUGGCUCAUUUCUUGUCGAACGUGAAAAUAAUAUCGUUAAGAACAAUGACACAUUAAGCUUUCUUUUGAAGGUGAGCUUUUAGCGUGGACCACUGUGCGAUGCGGAGGCAGAAUCAGCGAACUCGCUCGUGUGCCCCCCACCUCCACCCCUUGACCGGCUGGAAGGGGACAAUCACGUGCUCGUCAUACCCGAUCGUCGGAUUCGCGGCCCUUGACUUUUCCCCGCGAUCGCUCGCGAUUCCCAGUGCCAAAUCUCGCCCACCCCCGCUACCCCCUCCGCCCCGCGGUCCGGGGGUGAGGGAGGAGGGGGGAGGUGAUUCACCGAUCACUUUCACGGCUCCGUUAUCGUCCCAAUGCCGCGGUCAGAUUGAUGUGUGUACAGUGUGGCCGUUGCAAGCCAAUUUGAAGAAAUUAGAAUUCUCCCAGGUUAAAUAG
rnacentral:lncRNA from 1 species